GACAUUUUAACUAUACAAGUAUAUAUUUUGAAAAUAUAAAAAAGAAUAAAUUCUAAAUGUCU
rnacentral:tRNA from 1 species